rnacentral:rRNA from 1 species
AACCUCCGCAAUGUGAGAAAUCGCGACGGGGGGAUCCCAAGUGCCAUUCUUAACGGGACGGCUUUUCAUUAGUGUAAAGAGCUUUUGGAAUAAGGGCUGGGCAAGACCGGUGCCAGCCGCCGCGGUAACACCGGCAGCUCUAGUGGUAGCAGUUUUUAUUGGGCCUAAAGCGUCCGUAGCCGGUUUAAUAAGUCUCUGGUGAAAUCCUGUAGCUUAACUGUGGGAAUUGCUGGAGAUACUAUUAGACUUGAGACCGGGAGAGGUUAGAGGUACUCCCAGGGUAGAGGUGAAAUUCUGUAAUCCUGGGAGGACCGCCUGUUGCGAAGGCGUCUAACUGGAACGGUUCUGACGGUGAGGGACGAAAGUUAGGGGCGCGAACCGGAUUAGAUACCUGGGUAGUCCUAACUGUAAACGAUGCGGACUUGGUGUUGGGGUGGCUUUGAGCUGCUCCAGUGCCGAAGGGAAGCUGUUAAGUCCGCCGCCUGGGAAGUACGGUCGCAAGACUGAAACUUAAAGGAAUU